rfam:Nippostrongylus brasiliensis genome assembly, scaffold: NBR_contig0000648
GCAACGGUAGCACAGUCGUUAGUGCAGUCUGCCGGAAACAGAAAGAGGCGGGUUCAAUUCCCAUCCGAUGUC